rnacentral:rRNA from 1 species
GCGUGGGUAAUCUGCCUUCGGGUUUGGGACAACUUCGGGAAACUGGAGCUAAUACCAAAUAAGACCACGAGGUCCUUGGGCCUUGCGGAAAAAGAUGGCCUCUUCUUGAAAGCUAUCGCCUGUUGAUGAGCCCGCGUCCCAUUAGCUUGUUGGCGAGGUAAAAGCUCACCAAGGCAUCGAUGGGUAGCUGGUCUGAGAGGAUGGUCAGCCACACUGGAACUGAGACACGGUCCAGACACCUACGGGAGGCAGCAGUCGGGAAUCUUGCACAAUGGGCGAAAGCCUGAUGCAGCAACGCCGCGUGAGGGACGAAGGCCCUCGGGUCGUAAACCUCUGUCGGGAGGGAAGAAAGCGUUCCGGACCAAUACUCCGGAGCGCUGACGGUACCUCCAAAGGAAGUGCCGGCUAACUCCGUGCCAGCAGCCGCGGUAAUACGGAGGGCACGAGCGUUGUUCGGAAUUAUUGGGCGUAAAGCGCGUGUAGGCGGCUGGGCAAGUCGGAUGUGAAAGCCCGGGGCUCAACCCCGGAAUUGCAUUCGAAACUGCCCAGCUAGAGUCUCGGAGAGGAGGGCGGAAUUCCCGGUGUAGAGGUGAAAUUCGUAGAUAUCGGGAGGAACACCAGUGGCGAAGGCGGCCCUCUGGACGAUGACUGACGCUGAGACGCGAAAGCGUGGGGAGCAAACAGGAUUAGAUACCCUGGUAGUCCACGCCGUAAACGUUGGGUGCUAGGUGUCGCGGGUAUUGACCCCUGC